UCUUUCAGACCAGCAUAAUGUCAAAAACAGGAGGGAGGCUGUGCUCAGCUUUAUAUGUUUUGCUUCCAGAAUCAUAGCUAUAGACUUGUAAAUGCAUUUAGAGCUCAUCUAGUUCAACAUUUUCAUUUUAUUUGACACCCUGAGAGUUUGAGUAAUUUGACCAAGAUCAGAAGUCGGUUUUGAACUCAGAUUCCUGGAAAAAUCAGAAUCAGGAUCAGGAGAAGGCAACUAAAACAAUUGAGAGGGCUGCAGAUCUCUUGCUACAUGCAGAUGUAAUAGAUGUUUAGCAUAGAGGAGAGAAAACUUGGGGAAAAGGGGGCCAAGCUGAGGAGGAAGAAGGAAGGAAGGAAGAAAGAAGGAAGAAAGGAAGGAAGGAAGGAAGGAAGGAAGGAAGGAAGGAAGGAAGGAAGGAAGGAACGAACGAACGAACGAACGAACGAACGAAGGAACGAAGGAGUUAAAGAAACUUUCCUAACCAUUAAUUAUCCAAAAGUAGAAUGGGACACAUUGAGAGAGAGGAUAUAGGUUUCUCCUGCCAGGAGGCUUCAACCAAAGGUGAAGAAUCUAAGAAUCCAAGAAGGGUAAUGAUUUCCUGAACUUCGUAGAGUUGAAUUAUGAAUCUGGAGGAUGAUUUUUGUGAUGAUUGUUUGAAAGUAAAAGAAUCAAACUUUUUUAGAAAGAUUCCCUCAAUUCUAGUCCUGUGUCAAUUUAAUUAAAAAUAGCUCAGACUUCCAUAAUAUUUUAAGGCCCCAAAACUCUACUUACGAAGAAGCACAUAUUAAACACCUAUGAAAGCAUCAGGUACUAUGCAAUGAAGGAUACACAACAAAAAUUAGAGUUCCUGCCAUCCAGAAGUUUAAAUACUAUCAUGGAAAAGAAAAUACACAAAGAUAGGUGAAUACAAACUCAAAGCAAAGCUCUUGCUUAGUAAUUUCCCAGGGAGGGGGGAA